ensembl:lncRNA
GUGAUGCUUACUGAGAGAAGAGAGAAGUGUUAUCUGUAGAACAUGCUGUACUCACUCUCACUACUGUCACUCACACUCUGUGGAUUACACACAAACCUGACAUAAACCAUGAAUUUGACAGACCUCUUUCGUAGGUGGUCUAAAGAGUGUGUGUAUCUGCGCACGUGAUUGUGUCACCCCAGGUCAAGUUGUUGUGUGUCCAUCCUGUAAUAGGGGGCUAAAGUCUUCUCUAAUCUGUCUCAUAGACUGGCUAACUAAUACUUGAUGAACCACUCAAUGCUACAACUCUCCACAUGCAGGCCAACUUAUUAGAUGUGUAAUGAGAGAUUCCAUGUCCAUCUCCCCCAUGUUAAGGCAUAUGGAUAAUGGUAUCAUGGAGAGUAUUGUUAUUGGGUUAUUAUUGGUGGGCUAUGAUGAAUGAGAAGAAGGAAGUAGAGGAGUGGUAGAGGGAGAGAUGCAUGAGGAGAAGGAAGAAGAGGAGUGGUAGAGGGAGAGAUUAAUG